GAAAUGGGGCUGUCUCUGUUAUGCAGGAUGAACUGAGGUUCAGAACUAGAUUUUGCAAAGGAAAAAUCAGCCAGAGAAGCCUUUAAAGUACCUGGAGUCAAGGUGUCAUGAGAGAAAUUCAUUUCUCCUGCUGAUAUUUCACAGAAGAUGCCAUGCCAGUGGCUGGUGACCUUCAGGAUGAAGAUGGGCAGGUGAGGCUGAGGAAAACACUUGGAAAAUGAAGGCUCUGCAUUCAGUGGGGAAAUUGUGCAGUGUCUUGAAGGCUAUAUUUAAUUCUCAUAGCAAAACUGAAAAAAAACCCCAACUGGAAAAAAAAAUGGAAUUUAAAGAGACAGACAUUUUGGCAUUCUCAGAAAAGAGAAUAUGUAGCACAGAGGUUUCUCCUUCUGAAUGUCAUUGGAAUUGCAAGACAUUGCAAAAGGAUUCAGCUUGAUUCUGAGUUACUGCUUUUGCAAUCAAAAAUUGCCCAGGAAAAGAAGGAUUUCAAUAAGGAACCUGGAAAGGUUUUGCUGAAGGCUAAAGCACUGGAGUCCAGCAGAAAGUGCAUUUCUUCUCCAGCAGUCAGACUCAAACAUCAUCAGGAAUCAUGCACGUUUUAUCUUGUGCUGGAAGGAAGAAGACAGUCUGUUUCCACUGGUGGGGGACAGAAGCUAGAGUAUGUGAUGAAAAAAU